rnacentral:hammerhead_ribozyme from 1 species
GCGCUGCUGACGAGUACCAAACAGGACGAAACAGCUGUCUAGUAC